GAUGAACGCUGGCGGCGUGCCUAAUACAUGCAAGUCGAGCGAACGGACGAGAAGCUUGCUUUUCUGAUGUUAGCGGCGGACGGGUGAGUAACACGUGGAUAACCUACCUAUAAGACUGGGAUAACUUCGGGAAACCGGAGCUAAUACCGGAUAAUAUUUUGAACCGCAUGGUUCAAAAGUGAAAGACGGUCUUGCUGUCACUUAUAGAUGGAUCCGCGCUGCAUUAGCUAGUUGGUAAGGUAACGGCUUACCAAGGCAACGAUGCAUAGCCGACCUGAGAGGGUGGUCGGCCACACUGGAACUGAGACACGGUCCAGACUCCUUCGGGAGGCAGCAGUAGGGAAUCUUCCGCAAUGGGCGAAAGCCUGACGGAGCAACGCCGCGUGAGUGAUGAAGGUCUUCGGAUCGUAAAACUCUGUUAUUAGGGAAGAACAUAUGUGUAAGUAACUGUGCACAUCUUGACGGUACCUAAUCAGAAAGCCACGGCUAACUACGUG
rnacentral:rRNA from 1 species